rnacentral:tRNA from 1 species
GGGAAUGUGGCUUAGUGGUAGAGUGCUUGCCUAGCAUGCAUGAAGCCCUAGGUUUGAUUCCUCUGUACCA